CUGAGUACUACACUCUCUACCCUUUGUGAACUAUUAUACCUGUUGCUUCGGCGGCGCCCGCAAGGGUGCCCGCCGGUCUCAUCAGAAUCUCUGUUUUCGAACCCGACGAUACUUCUUGAGUGUUCUUAGCGAACUGUCA
rnacentral:misc_RNA from 1 species